GACGAACGCUGGCGGCGUGCUUAACAAAUGCAAGUCGAACGAAGUGGCGAACGGGUGAGUAACGCGUAAUCAACCUGCCCUUCAGAGGGGGACAACAGUUGGAAACGACUGCUAAUACCGCAUAAUGAAGGAGGGGAUUGCGUCUGAUUAGCAAGUUGGAGGGGUAACGGCCCACCAAGGCGAUGAGCAGUAGCCGGUCUGAGAGGAUGAACGGCAACAUUGUGACUGAGACACGGCCCAGACUCCUACUGGUGGCAGCAAUGGGUAAUCUUCCGCAAUGUACGAAAGUCUGACGGAGCAACGCCGCGUGAUUGAUGACGGCCUUCGGGUGGUAAAGCGCUGUUAAUCGGGACGCGGUACCGGAAUAGAAAGCCACGGCUAACUACGUGCCAGCAGCCGCGGUAAUAC
rnacentral:rRNA from 1 species